AUUGAACGCUGGCGGAAUGCUUUACACAUGCAAGUCGAACGGUAGAGGGGGCAACCCCUCGAGAGUGGCGAACGGGUGAGUAAUAUAUCGGAACGUGCCCAGUCGUGGGGGAUAACGUAGCGAAAGUUACGCUAAUACCGCAUACGAUCUAAGGAUGAAAGCGGGGGAUCGCAAGACCUCGCGCGAUUGGAGCGGCCGAUAUCAGAUUAGGUAGUUGGUGGGGUAAAGGCUCACCAAGCCAACGAUCUGUAGCUGGUCUGAGAGGACGAGCGGCCACACUGGAACUGAGAGACGUUCCAGACUCCUACGGGAGGCAGCAGUGGGGAAUUUUGGACAAUGGACGCAAGUCUGAUCCAGCCAUUCCGAGUGCAGGAUGAAGGCCCUCGGGUUGUAAACUGCUUUUGUACGGAACGAAAAGGUCUCUCUUAAUACGGGGGGCUCAUGACGGUACCGUAAGAAUAAGCACCGGCUAACUACGUGCCAGCCGCCGCGGUAA
rnacentral:rRNA from 1 species